rnacentral:rRNA from 1 species
AUUGAACGCUGGCGGCAUGCCUUACACAUGCAAGUCGAACGGCAGCACGGGAGCAAUCCUGGUGGCGAGUGGCGAACGGGUGAGUAAAGUAUCGGAACGUGCCCAGUCGUGGGGGAUAACGUAGCGAAAGUUACGCUAAUACCGCAUACGAUCUAUGGAUGAAAGCGGGGGAUCGCAAGACCUUGCGCGAUUGGAGCGGCCGAUAUCAGAUUAGGUAGUUGGUGGGGUAAAGGCUCACCAAGCCGACGAUCUGUAGCUGGUCUGAGAGGACGACCAGCCACACUGGGACUGAGACACGGCCCAGACUCCUACGGGAGGCAGCAGUGGGGAAUUUUGGACAAUGGGCGAAAGCCUGAUCCAGCCAUGCCGCGUGCAGGAUGAAGGCCUUCGGGUUGUAAACUGCUUUUGUACGGAACGAAAAGGUUUGGCCUAAUAAGCUGAGCUCAUGACGGUACCGUAAGAAUAAGCACCGGCUAACUACGUGCCAGCAGCCGCCGCAU